rnacentral:rRNA from 1 species
AGUGAACGCUGGCGGUAGGCCUAACACAUGCAAGUCGAACGGCAGCACAGUAAGAGCUUGCUCUUACGGGUGGCGAGUGGCGGACGGGUGAGGAAUACAUCGGAAUCUACUUUUUCGUGGGGGAUAUCGUAGGGAAACUUACGCUAAUACCGCAUACGACCUACGGGUGAAAGCAGGGGAUCUUCGGACCUUGCGCGAUUGAAUGAGCCGAUGUCGGAUUAGCUAGUUGGCGGGGUAAAGGCCCACCAAGGCGACGAUGCGUAGCUGGUCUGAGAGGAUGAUCAGCCACACUGGAACUGAGACACGGUCCAGACUCCUACGGGAGGCAGCAGUAGGGAAUAUUGGACAAUGGGCGCAAGCCUGAUCCAGCCAUACCGCGUGGGUGAAGAAGGCCUUCGGGUUGUAAAGCCCUUUUGUUGGGAAAGAAAAGCAGCAGGUUAAUACCCCGCUGUUCUGACGGUACCCAAAGAAUAAGCACCGGCUAACUUCGUG